rnacentral:rRNA from 1 species
AGUUCAGACGUGUGCUCUUCCGAUCUUGCCUAGGCACUGAGAGCCGACGAAAGACGUGAUAAGCUGCGAUAAGCUGCGGUAAGGAGCAAAUAUCCAUUGACCCGCAGAUUUCUGAAUGGGGAAACCUACGCAAGAAGACCUUGCGUACUCAUACAUGAAUACAUAGUGUAUGAGAGGGAACCCGGGGAACUGAAACAUCUAAGUACCCGGAGGAAGAGAAAGAAACAUCGAUUUCCUGAGUAGCGGCGAGCGAAAGGGAAAGAGCCCAAACCAGAGGAUUUAUCCACUGGGGUUAGGACUGCAUAAUUGAUCUGCAAUUGAUAGGAGAACGGUCUGGGAAGUCCGGCGAGAAAGCGUGAAAGCCGCGUAUCCGAAAUCGAAAGCAGCAAGGCAGUAUCCAGAGUACCACGAGACACGAGAAACCUUGUGGGAAUGAGCGGAGACCACUCCGUAAGGCUAAAUACUACUCAGUGACCGAUAGCGCAUAGUACUGUGAAGGAAAGGUGAAAAGGACCCCGGGAGGGGAGUGAAAGAGAACCUGAAACCCUGUGUUUACAAGCUGUCGAAGCACGAAAGUGCGACGGCGUACUUUUUGUAGAACGGUCCGGCGAGUUAUGAUGAGUGGUAAGGUUAAGGACUUAAGGUCCGGAGCCGAAGCGAAAGCGAGUGUUAAAAGCACGGUUGAAUCGCUUAUCAUAGACCCGAAACCGGGUGAUCUAUCCAUGUCCAGGUUGAAGCUGCCGUAAGAGGUAGUGGAGGACCGAACACACAUCCGUUGAAAAGGGUGGUGAUGAGGUGUGGAUAGGGGAGAAAUUCCAAUCGAACCCGGAGAUAGCUGGUUCUCCUCGAAAUAGCUUUAGGGCUAGCCUCUGGUUAGUCUGCCGCAGGUAGAGCACUGAAUUUCCUAGGGGGCGUCAAAGCCUACCGAAGAAUAUCAAACUCCGAAUGCCAUAUAGAUGAUGUACGGGAGUCAGACUGCACGAGAUAAGUUGGGUGGUCAAAAGGGAAAGAGCCCAGACCUACAGCUAAGGUCCCAAAGUGUGUGUUAAGUGGAAAAGGAUGUGGGAUUUCGAAGACAACUAGGAUGUUGGCUCAGAAGCAGCCACACAUUAAAAGAGUGCGUAAUAGCUCACUAGUCGAGAGGUCCUGCGCCGAAAAUGUCCGGGGCUAAAACACAACACCGAAGCUUAGGAAUUCUAAUGAAUUGGUAGAGGAGCAUUGAAGACGGAACGAAGCCAUACCGAAAGGAAUGGUGGACUGUCUUGAAGAGAGAAUGCCGGAAUGAGUAGCGAGAUUGAAGUGAGAAUCUUCAAGGCCGAAUAUCUAAGGUUUCCAGGGUAAAGCUGAUCUGCCCUGGGUAAGUCGGGGCCUAAGGCAAGGUCGAAAGACGUAGUCGAUGGAUAACAGGUUGAAAUUCCUGUACUGCAUCAAAUCAGAAAUGUGGGGACACAUGAGGGAAGCAUGAGCCGGAAAAGGAAAGUCCGGUACAAGCGCAGCAGAGGACAGAUAGGCAAAUCCGUCUGUCAACUCGAGGGCGCGAUGUGGAGCGAACCAAAGUAGCGAAGCAUGUGGAGCUUGUGUCGAGAAAAGCCGCUAUAGUGUUUGAUGUACCCGUACCGUAAACCGACACAGGUGGAUGAGGAGAGAAUCCUAAGGCCGGCGGGAGAAGCAUUGUUAAGGAACUCGGCAAAAUGACCCCGUAACUUCGGGAGAAGGGGUGCCUCGAAAGAGGCCGCAGAGAAUUGGCCCAAGCAACUGUUUAGCAAAAACACAGGUCUAUGCAAAACCGAAAGGUGAGGUAUAUGGGCUGACGCCUGCCCGGUGCUGGAAGGUUAAGAGGAGAGGUUAGCGCAAGCGAAGCUUUGAAUUUAAGCCCCAGUAAACGGCGGCCGUAACAAUAACGGUCCUAAGGUAGCGAAAUUCCUUGUCGGGU